rnacentral:lncRNA from 1 species
GAGAAUGAUGAGAUGUGUACGAUCAUCCGGAGCAAGAAAGAAUACCCCAAGAUACCCACACUAUUAUUUGCUUAUGAUGAUUAUGACAGAAUCACAUGCUAGAUUGUAGGCUAGGGAUCCUUAGGAAUUGCAAGAUAGAAUUCCUAGAACUUCUUGUAUGAUAGAUGAAAUUGACAUCAUUACUAUAGUUGUUUAGUGUGUGCAUCAUAUUUGUACAUAAAUAAGAUUCUAUAGCAUGAGAAUGUUUGGUUUAGCCUUAUUUCUUGUUCCUUGUUUGGUUGUGGGCUUAUGGUAGAAUCAAGUAUUCGAAUGUCUAUGGAAUCCAAUGUUAUGUAUGAUUAGCAUGCAUAAGCGGCUGCAGAGUUGGUGGAAGUUUCAUGAGUGAGUAUGGGUGUAGCAGGCCAGUUGAGGAAUGAUUAGCCACUCUCGAGAGAGUGAGUAUAGGAUGUAUGCAUAUACUUGUUUUUGGGUUUGUUUUUGGGUAGUUUAUGAUAAUCUGUUGAGACAAAUAUGAGUAGGUGUGGAAGGUAGUAAGGCCCCGUACUACUAAAAGCACUGGACCCGUACGCAUAGCAAGGAAGUCACAAACCUCGAGGGUUUGGUCACUCUGUGAUGGUUGUAAUUGAUGGGUUUUGGUCAUAAGACAUCCUAUGUGCUCAUACAAACCCUAAAGCUCGGAUCUAGGUUUCUCUAUUGUACAUACUUUGAAUCCAAGACUUGAACCCUAAUUCUAGCAUAUGGAAAUCAGAAUUCACAUGUAAAUAGGUUUAAGAACAUACCUUGAUUGUUAUAUAGCAAUAACAAUCCAAUCCCUCCUUGAAUUGACCUUGGAAAGCAGAGAGUCACAAGUGUCACUCCUCUAAUGGCUUACAAACACCAUAAGCAAGUGGAGAAGGUAUAAAGAGAGAGGAGGGAGGUUAGAAUUUGUAUUUGGGACUUCUUGGGAAGGGAUACACGAAUUCAUGACCUUGGGGUUGUUUAUAUAGGUGUAGAGAUAGGGUUUCAGUCAUUAUCCUUAUCUAGUUGAUUAUCCAUUAAGCAACCAAUAAGAUAAUCCUUGAAUCCUUAUCAUACUCGAAUUCUAAGGCUUUCCAACCUUAAAUUCGUUCACCAUACUUAUAAGAUAAUCCUUACCUUAUUUUGUAACUAUCACAUAAUUACAAUUCAGCCCCUCUAGUUUAAUUAAUUACACUUGAUCACAAAAUUAAUUCUUAAUUAAUUAUUGACCAAUAUUAAUUAAACAAAUAUGAUUUCUCCUUUAAUAUAUUAUUCUUAUAACAUAUUAAUAAAUCAUAAUAACCUCUCUCUCUAUUUAUUUCUCCAAUCAAGUUGCUUUGGUGAAGGCAACCCAAAAGGACCAUGCACCAUCGGGUCAAGUACAUACCAAAAUAGUUAUGGACUUAGACACUAAUCCAACAGUCUCCCACUUGGAUAAGUCUAAUAACUAUUCUGCGUAUGACUUCAGAUCCCGAUCUGCAAUCGUAGCUUUCCAAAGCCGCUGUCAACUCUGAUCAUAUCAAAUACGCGUGUCCUUAGAUAAGGGAUCAUAUAUUCCUCCAUUCUAGAUAUCAUAUGAGAUAUGAUUUCAAAUCAUUCUCUUUGUACUAUAUCUCGAUUUCCGAUUUAUGACGACUGACUAAUUGAACAAAUCAAAUUAGCCCUAGCCCGGCCGAGCAUUUACGUUUGUCAUCACUAAACCAUCGAGGGGCCCAAAGAUAUCGCUUUUAUCCUACUUUGGAUAAAAGGAACGGAUAAACUUUGAUACAAUGCUUGCUUGUACUCACGCACCGAAUCACACACAACAAUAUGUUUUAUAACACCAAGUUACUGGUGCGUUUACAUAUUAUCAAUGUGCAACCGAUUUGCAAGAUACAACUCACACAUCUCGGUUUCAAGAAUAUAAGAUGUUAUCGUCUCACCAAUCACUCGUGAUACAAUUCAUGGAGUGAUCCAAGUGAGCGUGGGUUUAAUCCAAUGCUCAAAUCAUAUUCAUAAGCACUCAUGAACGUUGCAGCAAACAUUUGCUUAUGUCUAAUACUCUUUUAGACAAUCCACACACCAAUUCACGACAGUCUUCAUUCAUAUCUACUUCCAACAUAUGAACGACUGUGGCCCGUUCGAAUAAUUCGAUUAUUCUUAAUAAACUCAAUUAUUCUGGAAGUCAAAACAUGCAAAUGUGAAACACAAGAAUAAUACUAAUCCCAUAUGGCCUCAAACCUUUGAGUAUAAAUAAAACACCUUUUAUUUAUCACCAUAUUGAUUACUCAUUAUUUGUCGUUUCGGGUAAUCAACUUCUUACUUGAAUUACAACACUUGUCCCAUGCUCCUAGCAUGCACACAAUGUUUACCUAUGGUUCUUACUUUGUGAAAUAGAUCACAUUGAACACAUUUCCAAUCAUUCUCAUUUCACAACUCCAAAUCCGUUUUUCAUAAGUUAAAGAAUAUCAAAUUCUUGCUACUUAUAGAAUAUGCUAGAUUCUAACAUUCUAUGCAACUAUCCUUUCGUAAUGUCACUGCACCAAAGUCACAAAGACUAUUGCCAAUGAUAUUACAAAGUCCUCUAUCGGAGAUUGUUACAAGACAAUUCCAUAGAUGUGAUGUCUCUCACUCAAAGUACAUUCUUUGAACAUCCUUUUGCAUAGAAGUUUCUAAUCUAGUCAUAGAUUUCUCAAUAUUCAAUUCCCAAUAUGGACACACUUCCAUAUGUUCCAUAUGACAACUCAUUCUUAAUAGAAUCUUAUCUAUUCGUAAUGAUGUCGAUAUGGUCCAUCCAAUAUGGAAACAUUUCCAUAUUUUCCAAUACUAUACUUCCAACUACUCACAAGCGACCAAUCCUCGUCGAACUUGGAUUGUCCUUUGAUAGUUGUUUAAUUAUUUUAGUCAAAACCAAUUCUAGUCCCUUUUCCCUCUAAAUGCGCUCGACAUUUGGAAAAUUUUAGAAUGGUCAAACAUUAAAGCAUUUGCAAUCGAUCCUAUACCCGAAGCGUAUGGGACACGACGCAUAAUGUUUUAUUUGCUAUGUUCUCAAAAUUCGAAUUGUGAAGAGGGAUGCCGUAAUCAUAAUCGAAAUUUUAAGAACACACUAUGUACCUUUGACUAAAUUUUAUUAACAUUUCUCAACCUAAACCUUUAGAUUUGAAAUGAAGCAUAAUAUUCUCUCCCUUAAUUAUAGCAAAACAACUCUUCAACUAUUGCGACUUUGCAAAGUAUGACUCUUGUUUUCUAUAAUUAAUAUUGCUAACCUUGCAAUACUUUCCUUAAUAAUCAUACAAUCAUAACUUUUAUGCUCCCACUAUCUUGAUGAUUAUUAUAAAACAUAACACUUAUGCUCCCACUAGCUUCGACAUGUAUUCAUAAACAUCUUAACUUUCAGAAAAAAAAUGCUUAUUGAAUUUCUUAAGUUCAUGUUUCUAAUACUUAGUGCUUUGAUAAUCUUUUAUCAAGGUUUCUUGAACUUAUACACAUUUGCCUUCGAUAGUUCAUAUGUGUGUCUAAACAAUUAAGACUAAUUGCCAAACCUCACAAUUCAAAUUAUGGAAAGGGAUGCCGUAACCAUAAUUGAAUUCGAGAAUGCAAUUUUACAAUCACUAUCUUCUUAAAAUCUGUCUUAGUGAAAGCAUUUCCUCACAAUCAUUUUCAUGAAGGAGGAAAUCUUAUGACACUUAGAUUUAAACGGUGUAUUUGUUCCUAUCCAUGUGAAUUUGUCAAAACCAAAGUUUACGACAAAUUCAAACUCUUAUGGAUCGAACUUUCUUGAUCUCGAUUUCUUGCCUUUAUGGUAGCACAGCUGCCCACCAUGUCUUCCAAGUAGUUAAGCAGCUCACCCUUUCCUAUCAAUGUACCUUUCAUUGAUUAAGGUGCUUUGCCUUUUAUGCGUUCAAAAUGAGAACUCAUAGAACUCACAUGCAUAAUUAACUCGAUUGGAUUGGCACAGAAUCAAAAUAAUGUCAACACGAUAGGUUGUAAACCUCAACUCGUGUGCUAGUGAUGAUCGAUAAGGUUUAUUUGAUUUGUUCUUGAAACCUUUCAAGACCAUUAAGACUCCCACUGACUCCUUGACAUAUAAGAUUCUCUUGUCAAAAAACAUUUCUUGACAAACAAAUAUUCAAGAGUUAGUGUAGCUUUUAUCAAAACACUUCAUAAAUUGGUCCUAGUUGGUCUUUGUCUUAUCCAAGACAUCACAACUUUCCACAUUUAAUGAAAGUUACAAACCUUCUUAAUACCUUUCACUCAAUGUCACAAUCUUAACUUUAAGACUUGUUAUUGGAACGAAGUAUGAUUGACUUAUUGAUUUAACCAUUUCUUCAAUUCUUGAUUCCUCUUCUUAGACAUACAAUUGUACUAAGACUCACUUAGAGGAUCAAUUGAGAUAUGGUUCUUAAUCAUUAAGACCUAUCAUAAAGCAUAAAAGGUACUCUCCCUUCUUCUUAGAAUGGAGAAACUUUUAUCUUUCUGCCUACUUGAUUCUUCUUAUUCGUUCUGCUAUUGAUUUAAACUUUUUCAAUCAAUUCAGAAUUACACUUAAUCUUAUAAGUAUAAUCAUAUUUACUAAACCUUUAGUAAAUCAUGACGAAUAUCUUUGUUACUCUUAUGGUGGACUUGAUCAACACGCAACUUUGUGUACUCGAUCUCCUAGUCCUUCACUUGACACUUUGUCAAUGAAUUAGUCUAAUUUCCAAAUAUGAAAUUUCUCAUUCAUCGUGCAACCAAGUUGCAUGAUUCCAAGUUUCUGUCCAAUUGAAACUUGGGCGAUGAGAAACUCUCCCUAUUUGGUAAAUUCUCGACUUUCCAUAAAUAACAUAAUAAGAACCAAAUCCAUUAUUGCUAAUAAUAGAAACAUUUUAACAUCAAUUUUUCAUACACGCCAUUGUAAGGAUAAAUAAAUAAAAUUUAAAAUCAAAAUUUAUUUUAUUGCGGAAAAAUUUGUCCUUACAAUGCAAUUCAUUGAAAAACUAUGCUAAUACAUCUUUCUUAGCAAUCUAAUUCUAACUCUAAGUAGUAGCUCAAGAAUCUAAUCUUCGAGAAAUGCGAUCGAAAUCCAUUCCUUCACGGUUAGAUUCUGCUCACUUCUUCCCUUAAGCUUCCUUUCUUUUCUUCGAUCCUACAAAACAUCAAUUGUAAUCUUAUCACAUUAUGUAUUAAGAAUCUAGAAUAGAAGCUUAAAAGAGUUAGUUAAUGGAUUUUACCUAUAUUAGAGCCAUACGUUUCGACUCUCCCAUCUCUUAGAUCUCUUAGGUAAAUGGGGCAGCUUCGUCUCCAAUGCCCUUUCUCUUGGCAAUAAAAGCAAAUUGACUCUUUUGGAACAUGACAUGGAACUACUUCAGACAUUGCCUUUCUCUUAUGAUCAAACUUUUCGAUCAUAGCAUGUCUUUCGUUGCCAUUGUCUAUAUCCAUAGAGGUCUUGAAGGCAGAUUCACCAAUCAACUUUGCUUUUCUAUUGCGCCAAACCAUUGCUGAUUCAGCAGCAAUAAGCAUAUAGGUGAGAUCUAUAAGGGUCACGUCGCGGUUCAUCAUAUAGUACUCUCUUACGAACUCACUAUAUGAGUUAGGAAGUGACUGAAGAACCCAAUCAACAGCCAUUUCCUCACAGACAACGGAUCCCAACAUUCUUAACCUAUCAAUGUGUGACUUCAUCCCUAGGACGUGUGCACACACCGACUUUCCUUCUUUAUGUUUACUUGCCAAAAGGGCUUGAGUGAUCUUGAACUUUUCAAGCCUUUGAACUUGUGGGUUAGGGAGAAUAAUUGGAGGAGGUGGAGGAAGUGAAGCAUGAUUUCUUGUUCCUCGAUCGAAUCGUGGAAUAUCAUCUUCAUGUGGAAUGCUUGUUCCACGGGAUUUGGGAAGACCAUAGUUGUCGAACUUUGACAUCUACAAAACGGGAGAAAACGAAUUCAAGUUAGUUGAUUGAUUGAGUCCUUAGUAAAUCACCCAAAUGAGAUACUAAGGCUAGGACCCAACACAAUAUUCUACAACUCGGGAGAGGGAUGCCGUAACCCUAAUUGCAGAACAUUUGAAGGUAAGUGAAUGACGAUUCACUAAUUUCCACCAUGAAAAACGAAAAAGAAAUUUAAGUUUUAAAUCUAUGAAAACUCCUAGAUCCUUUGAGAUUCAUUGAACUUUCAAUGGCAUGUUUAAAUCUCGAUAUGCCCCUCUUGUUUGUGACUGGGAUGCCGAGGAUCACAAAGCGGGUGUGAAUAACCAUGCAAACUUACAUGGUGCCCUCACAUGUUACAGUCACCUAUUCGAUGUGCCGGUAAACCACACACGCUCCACCGAACUAUGACAAACAUUGAGUCACCCUUUGCUACCUUUGCUUAGAACCAUUUAGUGUGCCGGUAAACCACACACGCUCCACUAACGUCUUCGCAAGGGCACAAAGUGUAAUUUCAUGGAAUUGCAUCAAUUCACUUUUGCCUAAGUAACUAAGAUUGGGAAUUUUAUGAAAACAUUUAGUUACUUUUAUACUUCAUUAUACUUAUAAUGGAAGGUUUCGUCCUAUCCUACCCGUUCGGCUAACGACCCUCCACUAGUCAAGAGUGCGGUGGGUAAGAGUGGAUACCCAUUCAAUCGCCAUUUUAUAGGCAAUUUCCUUAAACACCCCUUAUAGACCAGCUUCGUGAAUGAGGCCUACUAACGGUAAGACUGACUUUUACUCAUACAUAUAUAUAAUGUUAGACUUUUAAUGUUAUAUAUAGUAUAGGGUGUAUUUUACACUUUUAAAAUACUAGGUGGUCAAAUUUAACAAUUAUACUUUUAAUUCAAUUAAAUUGUAAACCUAAACUUUUAUGGAUUUAUUAAACCUCUUUUAAUUAUACACCUUAAUUAAUUAAUAAAACCAUAAGGGUGUGAUUUGAACUUUUUCAAAACUAUACUAGAGUUUUAGAAUUUAACAUUCCUAAUUAAACUUUUAAUCAACUUUUAAAUUCCAAAACUUGAGGGCAAGUUUUGAAACAUUUCAACACAUUAGGGUUUAGAAUUUAAAUAUACAUCAAAAUUAAACCAUUUAAUCAAAAUUUAAAUUCCAAAACUUGAGGGCAAGUUUUGAAACCUUUUUCAAAACAUUAGGGUUUCAACUAUUUAAAUUUCAAAACAACAAAACUUUUGGGUUCAAAUUUAAACUAUAAAACCUAAGGGGAAAAUAUGAAACAUUUCAUAACAUAAGGAUCAAAUAACAAAUAAUCUAAAUUAACAAUUAAUCACAUAAUUAUCCAUAUUUGAUUUAUUUAAUGAUUUCUUGCAAAACAAUUUACCAAUUUAAUCAAAAUAAUUAAUCAAUUAUCACAUAAGGAAACAAAUAUUUUAUUAAUUGAUAAAUAUCUUCAAUUAGAUCAAGAAUAUAGUCAAAUAUAUCAUAAAAUCGGAUUUAUAUUGAUCUAAUAUGAUAAGGUAACUAUCCCUAAGCAAAAACAGCAAGAAAUCCCGAAAUAUCCUCCAUCUGACGAGUUGACUCGUCGAGUCAAGCUUGGACUCGUCGAGUCUGCAUGGACUCGGCGAGUUCAGCUAUGGACUCGGCGAGUCCAGCCUCCAGAACAUCAAAAAUCGAAUUUUUUGAACAUGUAAUGCAUCAAUACAAUUGAAACCAGUCUAGGCUCUGAUACCACUGAUGGGUUUUGGUCAUAAGACAUCCUAUGUGCUCAUACAAACCCUAAAGCUCGGAUCUAGGUUUCUCUAUUGUACAUACUUUGAAUCCAAGACUUGAACCCUAAUUCUAGCAUAUGGAAAUCAGAAUUCACAUGUAAAUAGGUUUAAGAACAUACCUUGAUUGUUAUAUAGCAAUAACAAUCCAAUCCCUCCUUGAAUUGACCUUGGAAAGCAGAGAGUCACAAGUGUCACUCCUCUAAUGGCUUACAAACACCAUAAGCAAGUGGAGAAGGUAUAAAGAGAGAGGAGGGAGGUUAGAAUUCGUAUUUGGGACUUCUUGGGAAGGGAUACACGAAUUCAUGACCUUGGGGUUGUUUAUAUAGGUGUAGAGAUAGGGUUUCAGUCAUUAUCCUUAUCUAGUUGAUUAUCCAUUAAGCAACCAAUAAGAUAAUCCUUGAAUCCUUAUCAUACUCGAAUUCUAAGGCUUUCCAACCUUAAAUUCGUCCACCAUAUAUAUAAGAUAAUCCUUACCUUAUUUUGUAACUAUCACAUAAUUACAAAUCAGCCCCUCUAGUUUAAUUAAUUACAUUUGAUCACAAAACUAAUUCUUAAUUAAUUAUCGACCAAUAUUAAUUAAACAAAUAUGAUUUCUCCUUUAAUAUAUUAUUCUUAUAACAUAUUAACAAAUCAUAAUAACCUCUCUUUCUAUUUAUUUCUCCAAUCAAGUUGCUUUGGUGAAGGCAACCCAAAAGGACCAUGCACCAUCGGGUCAAGUACAUACCAAAAUAGUUAUGGACUUAGACAGUAAUCCAACAGUAAUAGUAUGAAUGGUGGCAUUUUUUUAAAUAUAUUUUGGUUCAUUUUCAGUAUGGUGUUC